AGCAGUGUAGCACAGUGGUUAGGGUGCUAGCCUUGUAACUGAAAGGUUGCUGGUUCAAUUCCCUACUAGGGCACUGCUG